GACGAACGCUGGCGGCGGGCUUAACACAUGCAAGUCGAACGGAAAGGCCCUGCUUUCGUGGGGUGCUCGAGUGGCGAACGGGUGAGUAACACGUGAGUAACCUGCCCUUGACUUUGGGAUAACUUCAGGAAACUGGGGCUAAUACCGGAUAGGAGCUCCUGCUGCUUGGUGGGGGUUGGAAAGUUUCGGCGGUUGGGGAUGGGCUCGCGGCUUAUCAGCUUGUUGGUGGGGUAGUGGCUUACCAAGGCGUUGACGGGUAGCCGGCCUGAGAGGGUGACCGGCCACAUUGGGACUGAGAUACGGCCCAGACUCCUACGGGAGGCAGCAGUGGGGAAUAUUGCACAAUGGGCGGAAGCCUGAUGCAGCAACGCCGCGUGCGGGAUGACGGCCUUCGGGUUGUAAACCGCUUUCGCCUGUGACGAAGCGUGAGUGACGGUAAUGGGUAAAGAAGCACCGGCUAACUACGUG
rnacentral:rRNA from 1 species